UCGCCCCGCCACUCCGCGCGCGCCCGGUUGGCCGGCCGAUCUUUUUAACGGCCGAACCGGCGGUGGUGCAGCUGUUUCGUCCGCCCUGAGAGCGUUGCUGAGUCGUCCCACUCGGAAUUGCAUUCGCUGCAUCGGUCUGGGCUGGAAUGGCCCUGUUCCCUUGAAGGAAUUACAUCCAGCGGGAACUUUGGGAAGAUAAUUGAAUAAUUACUUAAAAAGGAGAAAGAAAACUGCAUUAACAUAAAUAUCACUUCUCCCCCAAUCUCUAUCAAUUCCGAAAGAGGAUCACUGGGCCCGAAACCUUAACUCUUGUUUCUCUCUCCUCAGAUGCUGCCAGUCCUGCUUAGUUUCUCUCGCAAUUUUUGAUUUUGGUUGAAGGAAGGAAUGCCCAGUUUUGAUGCAAAAAUCGGGACUCAUCAGCUAACUCUUUCCAAGUGUACUGGAUUGUAUUAGGUGCUCCUACAUUGCAAUUUACAGCUUGAAUUAAUGACGGUUUGACUUGCCUGGAUUUUAUUUUGCAAAGCUUCAGUGGAAAACAUCUCAGAGAGGCUUCUGCAGAACUCUGACCAGCAUCAUUGCAUUGGGAACAUAGACCCCUGUGGAAUCUCAGCACCAGAACACUAUGAGUUAACAGUGAAUACAGUUUCGAAGCAUUUUGGAUUACCACAACAGGCAUGUUUUAAAGGAUUUCUUUCAAAAGGAUUUCUUUCUUACUGAUCCCCAUUUAGAAUGCAGAGAAGAGUUGUUCCAUGAGAUUCUAGUAAAAUAGGAUGGCUACAUCAUAUUAAACUCUGCCUGGAGAUGAGUCCAUGUGAUUUCGAUAUCAAAAGGUUGGAGACCCAAAUUGAUACCAACAGAAAGUCAAUGCCAGGAUUUAUAUCUUGAAACGAAAGAAGGGGAGCUUAUCUUUCUGGACACAAACUCUUAGACCAAUUAAGAGACAUGCAGAGGAAGAUUAAAAUACCUGCUACUAUGACAAGCACAGGAAAUAGGACUUUGUGUUUACCACUAAACAGAAUACUGGUGAGAAUGGACUCCCAAUUUGAAAAGAUUAUUCUUGUCGAGAUUUAAAGAGAAAGGAGUUGCCAGAGGGUGCCUAGCUGUUGGAAAUCAGUUCAAUGCUACUCAGGAGAUUGAGUAUAGGAACUUUAAAGGGACAUUGCACCCUGCAAUGGAUCAUAACUGUGAAUUACUAUAUGGACAUGUUGAACUUUAAAAUAAUUGUUUUUCCAGAAGAAUAUGCAAGCCAAAAGAUGGCUAGCAAAGUAAAUUCAGUGGUUGUUUGGAAAAUCCCUGCAUGAUUACGGAGUCCUGAAUAUCACACCCGAUGAAUAUCAAGGUAACCUCAGACAAUGACACUUCAAGAGAAGAGGUAGCAUUCAAAAAAGGCAGUGUCUGCUGACAAUGAAACUGCAGAACAACUACACAUCCAUGCUCACUCAAACACCAAUGCACAAGUUUCCAGACACUCUACAUUUUUGUGUCAUGCACAGAACAGGGACAACAUUGAAGCGGAAUGGGGCAGGGCAUGCAAGGGGAGACAAUGGAUGGGCUGAUGGCAGGGAAGAAAACAGACAGGGCUGGUGAGGGUGUAGGGUGAGAACAGAUGGGGCUCUUGAGGAGAGUAGAGAGAACUGGCCCAGGAGCCAGGAGAUUUUCCACUCUUUUGCACUCUCUCACAACCAUCCAUCCAUCCCCAGUCCCAACCUUUCCCCUCACCUCCCAAGCCAUGGGCUGCAUCCUCCAGGACCAUUUGUCUGUGCAACUAAAAGGUAGUGCACACUGCAUAUGUACAUGCACUAGCAGACGCAGCCUUGAAAACAUUAACAGUAUCUCCUAUGGCUAUAGGACUGAUUAUCCUCAGCAGGAAGCCAUGUUCAGUAGGUUGUGUCACAGACUGCAGGUAAGAUGAGGUGGAAGAAAGACAGUUCUGGGCAAAAUACAUGCCAUUUCAUGAAAACACGAGAGGGCAUUACUGUAACCUCUGGUUUCUGUAUCCUAGCGAACUGGUGUGCUAUACUGUUCAAGUUCCACUCUGCUGAAGUGUGCAGUGAAGGGACUCAGCUGAAAAUUGUCACUAGACAUCCCUUCAAUUUUCAGGUAAAAAGAAAUAAACUCUCUCUUGCUGAAAACAAGUCUUCAGCAAAGACGCUGUUGAAAGAAACGAGAAAAACUCCUUUGAGUUGAUUGCAGAACCAAAAAAAAAACUACACUGCUAAAGUCAGUGCUAUUAGUAUCACUCACUUCAAUGAUCACAGCAUUUCACAAUCAGAUACCAGCCAAAGACUGAUUCAUAUAUUUUUGACUUUAAUUCUAAUCCAUGUUUGCAUGUGUUGAAUGUUAUCUUUUCUCAUAUUUUAGUAAACUCAUACUCUCUUUAACCCAAAAAAUCCUAGUUAAAUUUGGCUCCUUUAAAACAUAAAUUACAUGUGGGCUGCUAAAGGGUAUCCAUGAAGGAAGGGAUCCAUUUUAAAUUAAUCUUGUGACCUACUGAGGUUAGAGUUUUUGAAAAAGAUUUGUGGUUCAGGUUGUGGGUGAGGUCAUAGAUUUGUUUUCCGAGCUGAUGUGUUUUUUUGCAGCCAUUUAAUCACCACUAGGUGACAUCGUCAGUGCGCCUCUGGUGAAGCGUUGGUGGUCUGUCCCGCCUGGUAUUUAUGUGUCUGUUUUCCGGUACUUCUGGUUCUGUAUGUGAAUGGUUUGUAUAUCGGGUCCAGUUCAAUAUGUUUAUUGAUUGAGUUCCAGUUGGAGUGAAAGGCUUUAAAGAAUUCUCUCAUGUGUCUCUAUUUUGCCUCUGCUGGGAUGGUUACAUUGUCCCAGUUGAAUUUGUGUCCUUCAUUGUCUGUGUGGGUGGAAAUGAGAGAUUACUGGUAGUGGGGAACUGAACACUCGCAUAGUCUGUUUUCUUCCUGUUUAUCCUAUGUAGUGUUUUUCACAGGCCUUGCAGGGUAUCUUGUGGAUUAUGUUCAUGCUGUUAGAUGUGGGUAUCGGUUCCUUAGCUUUUGUGAAGAGUUGGUGAAAGGUGUUUACCGGUUUGUGGAUCACUGAUUCCUAGGGGUCUGAGUAGUCAGUUAGUCGUUUCUGAUAUGUCCUUAAUCUACAGUAUGGUCACUACUGUGUCUGGUCAUGUAGUGUUUUCUUCUUUUAGGUUUGUUGCAUAAGUGCAGGAGGAAAGUGCUCUUGAGGUACCCAUUUUGGUAUGCUUUCCUUUAUUGGUCGGAGCAUUGAAUACAGGAGUUGGGAGGUCAUGUUACAGCUGUAUAGGAUA